rnacentral:rRNA from 3 species
AGCCUGAUGCAGCCAUGCCGCGUGUGUGAAGAAGGCCUUCGGGUUGUAAAGCACUUUCAGUCGUGAGGAAGGUGGUGUAGUUAAUAGCUGCAUUACUUGACGUUAGCGACAGAAGAAGCACCGGCUAACUCCGUGCCAGCAGCCGCGGUAAUACGGAGGGUGCGAGCGUUAAUCGGAAUUACUGGGCGUAAAGCGCAUGCAGGUGGUUUGUUAAGUCAGAUGUGAAAGCCCGGGGCUCAACCUCGGAAUAGCAUUUGAAACUGGCAGACUAGAGUACUGUAGAGGGGGGUAGAAUUUCAGGUGUAGCGGUGAAAUGCGUAGAGAUCUGAAGGAAUACCGGUGGCGAAGGCGGCCCCCUGGACAGAUACUGACACUCAGAUGCGAAAGCGUGGGGAGCAAACAGGAUUAGAUACCCUGGUAGUCCACGCCGUAAACGAUGUCUACUUGGAGGUUGUGGCCUUGAGCCGUGGCUUUCGGAGCUAACGCGUUAAGUAGACCGCCUGG